rnacentral:rRNA from 1 species
AACGCGAAGAACCUUACCAAGGCUUGACAUACACCGGAAAGCAUCAGAGAUGGUGCCCCCCUUGUGGUCGGUGUACAGGUGGUGCAUGGCUGUCGUCAGCUCGUGUCGUGAGAUGUUGGGUUAAGUCCCGCAACGAGCGCAACCCUUGUUCUGUGUUGCCAGCAUGCCCUUCGGGGUGAUGGGGACUCACAGGAGACCGCCGGGGUCAACUCGGAGGAAGGUGGGGACGACGUCAAGUCAUCAUGCCCCUUAUGUCUUGGGCUGCACACGUGCUACAAUGGCCGGUACAAUGAGCUGCGAUACCGCAAGGUGGAGCGAAUCUCAAAAAGCCGGUCUCAGUUCGGAUUGGGGUCUGCAACUCGACCCCAUGAAGUCGGAGUUGCUAGUAAUCGCAGAUCAGCAUUGCUGCGGUGAAUACGUUCCCGGGCCUUGUACACACCG